GAUGAAGAACGUAGCGAACUGCGAUAAGUAAUGUGAAUUGCAGAAUUCAGUGAAUCAUCGAAUCUUUGAACGCACAUUGCGCCCGCUAGUAUUCUGGCGGGCAUGCCUGUCCGAGCGUCAUUUCAACCCUCAAGCCCCCGGGCUUGGUGUUGGGGAUCGGCGAGCCUCCGCGCCCGCCGUCCCCUAAAUCUAGUGGCGGUCUCGCUGUAGCUUCCUCUGCGUAGUAGCACACCUCGCACUGGGAAACAGCGCGGCCACGCCGUUAAACCCCCAACUUCUGAACGUUUGACCUCGGAUCAGGUAGGAAUACCCGCUGAACUUAAGCAUAUCAAUAAGCGGAGGA
rnacentral:misc_RNA from 1 species